rnacentral:rRNA from 1 species
AUUGAACGCUGGCGGCAUGCCUUACACAUGCAAGUCGAACGGCAGCACGGGAGCAAUCCUGGUGGCGAGUGGCGAACGGGUGAGUAAUAUAUCGGAACGUGCCCGGUCGUGGGGAUAACGUAGCGAAAGCUACGCUAAUACCGCAUACGAUCUACGGAUGAAAGCGGGGGAUCGCAAGACCUCGCGCGAUUGGAGCGGCCGAUAUCAGAUUAGGUAGUUGGUGAGGUAAAGGCUCACCAAGCCGACGAUCUGUAGCUGGUCUGAGAGGACGACCAGCCACACUGGGACUGAGACACGGCCCAGACUCCUACGGGAGGCAGCAGUGGGGAAUUUGGACAAUGGGCGCAAGCCUGAUCCAGCAAUGCCGCGUG